ACGCAGGCCGCCUAAUACCACUGCCGAAGGCAGGAGAUCUCGUAUGAUGGCUUAGUUCUUGGUGGGUUUGGAUGUGGAGCGGUGAAGGAGAAUUGGGGUCAUGGAGUUUGGUUGACAGAAGAGAGUGAGCACCCAUGGUGUUUUCCUGCAUGAAGAGGGUUCAUGCUCGAAGCUAUGCGUGCUCACUUCUCUAUCUGUCAACCAUCACCGGGUUGUGGUGUUUCUCUGCCCUUCUUCUCGCGAAAGAUGCAGCUGUCAAUUUGCGUUGUCUCUGUUAGGCCUCGCCUCGUGCAUGGCGAUCGAGUAACAGUAGCAUGCACAUAUAAUACGAUUAACAGCACGUUAAUUAGGACCGUCAUACUGAUUAGAUUUUGUCUCUUUGUUUUCUCUUUCGUAUGCUCGUCAUCAGAUCUUUCGUUUCGCCUGUUCGUCAUGCUGUGUGCUUACUUUUGCUUCUUUUUGCAAGAUGAAUCCGGCUGUUUCUUGAGAUGAAGAAUUCCCUGCUUCGGGAUCCGGACGAGCUAUCGAGUUGCUGAUGCGUUAGAACGUCCUUCUUUCUUCCUUCUCCGUGAUUCGUUUUCUCUGUGCGCAAUGAAACGUGCGUGGCGAGCAGUAUAAAGAAAGAUCAGCAAAAACGUGAUGGAUCAUAAAUGAUGGGGAAGAAACUAUCAGAUUCACUACAUAAAGGACGAGAAAGAAUGCUGCAGCGAAGUGAUGAGAGAUGCGCGAUUAGAAUUGAUGACACCGAAGAAGCAAAAGAAGAGGAGGGCAAAAAGCAAUGAUGGGAGGAUCUCAUUUCCAAGUCAAAUCAUCACUACAGUUGGAUACUUACUGCACACUUUCUUCGUAUCCUUCUGGAGAUGCUUAUCCCUUUCUUUGUGAUACAACUCAGUCAACAGUGUGCUUUUCCUCAGUUCUCAUCAAACAUUUAUGAUGUUUUCUAAAA